GCCUCGCUGAUCUUAUGCAUAUGCUUGUUUUUAUUGUCCAUAUCUUUAUUUGUACUAAUUCAAGUAAAUUUAAUUUAUCUAUUGGCUUAAUAUGUCUUGGGUAUUGAUAGAGUAAUAUUUUUUUACUUGAUUAAUGGUCAAACAUACCACUUCAGUAUCUUUCUAUAGGUGCCUCAGAAUUAUGCAGUUGAUCAUAGGAUACUGCUACUCGGAUAAAAAUGUCUUAGUGCUCUACAUCGAAGUUAUCAUAUAUAGUUUAAUUAUUUUAAGCAUUCAUAACCAAAACUACGUUUUGAGAGUGAAACGCUUCACGGAAUUCAAAAUAUUUUAAGCAUUCAUCAGCUAAACUAUUUUAAGAAUGACAUUGUCCUUGCUCUGUGCCUCAAUGACGUCAAGAAGGGGAGGAUACGUUCGAGGAGGUCCUGCACAAUACACUGGCAUCUAGAGGUGGAGAGCAUUCAGUUAAUCAUGCCAUAUGUGGUGCAGUUCGUGUAAGAGAGGGAUCAUGUUGAUGUAAGCUUUGUGUGGGAGUAGUUACUGUUCGAGGUGCUCACAAAGACAUUCCUCAUGAUGUUGGACUAAAACUUUGGUUGGCUCUGAAAUCUAUAUGUACUCUGUUGUUUUACUUUAUCACAUUCAUGUCUUGAGUAAAAUUCAUUGUCCAUUAACAUCGAGCAGAUAUAUACAACAUAUGAUGAUAAGUUCUUUUGCUUGAGUAGGGCUCAUAAAUAAUUGUGUGCCUCACAACACUAUGAUAUGAUUUAAGGAAAUAAUUGUUUGCACAUAUACUAAUGUACCACUUUACCUUGCUGCUUUCUGCUGAAGUUUAUGCUUUUUAUACUUUUGAAGUUAAGAGGAAUAUGAAGCAACAAGGACAACGUUGGUCCAUAUAGCCCUACCUUUUCAUUCACUACCGGGUGAGUUCACUUCCCUCUAUGUUAGGUAAUACACAUUAUACAAUUAUUCAAUCAUACUUAAUACAUGAGAGAUGUACAAAGAUAAUGUUGGUCCAAAAUGCACCACAUAGUUUUUUCAGUAAAUAAUUUGUUGAUGUAUAAGUAUUACCAAAUCAGAUUAGGAAUCUACCGCUCGCUCCCAUUUAGCGGUAGUUCGGAGUCAGGCUUUUAGCCUGAAACUACUUGAGGUGAGAAAAUAUCUUAAACAAGCUUUAUAUUUUUUUUGUACAUUCUCCCUUGUAUAUAAGAAGGAUAACAAAAUGCUACGAAACACAAUCCUUGCAACUGUGAUAGCUAUUGCAUAGCCAACAUGGUUGUUGUAUCACUAUUUGUAUUGAUAAAUGAAGAAAACUAAAAAUUUAACUGGUCGGAGGAGGUAAAACAAAGGCAAGAAGUUGAGCGUAUCCUCCUGCAACUGACUACUUAAUUCAUUUCUCAUGGUUCUGUGAUUUUUCAUUGCAUGUAUCCGUUUUAUAUAAUAUUAGUUGCAGCUAAUAUGGUCAUCAAGUUCAUUGAUGUCCAUAAGAUAAUAAUAUCUCCAUUGAGAUGUGCAAUGAAACAUCAAAGGUAUGCCCCUAUGUUUCAUCCAGAUUUCUUUUAAGGGUCCCCUGUUUGAUUGUAUGCUUUACUGAGCAACCUAAUUUGUGAUUUAAACUAUGGAAUGUGGUCACCCAAAUGGGACUAUUCUGAUUGAUCACCUCAUUUUUUGUUUUCAUUAAUAAAAUUUAUCCUAUUUAUGGAACAUGAUGCGCUGUCAUAUUCAAAUUUGUCACCUCAUUUUCUAUUUUCAAUAUUACUGUUUAAAACCAUGAACCUUGUCGUGUAUAAAAAAUAACAAAAAACAUGACUAUAUUUAUUUUAAUAUGUGUUUGCAUUCUCAUGAGAGCACCUCUUGCUGAACCACUUUCAUUUCCCUUUAUUGUUACUGAUGUUGCUGAUUGGCUUACUUGGUUAUAGAUGAUGAGUAUUACUUUAAUAGGAAGGCUUGCAACACCAUUAUCUUGAAGAAGAAUUUAAUCCUAGUAUUUUUUUUUGUAACUCUUUAGCUAUAGUUAUAGUCAUGGACCUCAUGGUAAAGAUUCUGUUUUGAAACUUGAGUCGUGUAUGUUAUCUUUUUGUUGAAUAUAUAUUCUGCACUUCUCAAACUAGACUGAUCAUAUAGUGAAGAAAAAAAAAUAUGUGAAUGAUUUUGUUGUAGUUCGGAGUACUACGAGCGUUGCCACAAUGACAGCUGGAGCCGGCCCCACCUAGAUGAUUUAUUUAUCUUCAUGUGUAAACUUAUAACACCAGUGAAUGAGCUAAGAUAGAUAUGUGGAUGCUAGAGACUCCAGGAUCUCCUGAUGGUAUAAACUUGUGUGAAGUUUAUACCAUCAUUUGUACCAUUGAAAAUUUACCAUAGCACAUCUGCCAGCUUCUAUGCUACCGACUUCGUGACCUCUUGAUCCACUUCUCCCUUUACUGCAGGGCUCGGCAGGUGGAACACAGUACUCAUCAUUUGCAAUGCCUUUUGGUGCAAAUAGGGGAAGUCAUUUAGUUAUCAUAUAUUCAUGCCAAACUGAAAUGAGCACACUGGUCAACUUCUACGCUACAUACUCCGUGAUCGCUUGAUCCCCUUCUCCCUUUGCUGCAGGGCUUGGUAGGAAGAACACAAUCGACGGCCAUUUGCGGCGCCUUUUGGUGCAAAUAGUGGGAGCCUUUUAAUAAUCAUAUAUUCAUGUCAAGCUAAAAUUCAAACAACCUUAGAUAAACAUCAUUUCCUGUUCUUAGUGGAUUGAUUAGUGAUUUCUGAGUAGUGAGGAUAUGGCCAUGGCAAAUUUUGUAGUUCACAUCUAAGUCUAAGUUGCAUUGAGUCUUGCCUUAUGUGCCAUGUCCAUCCUAAAACAUGCUAUCAAUGAAUGCAUAAGUAUAUGUUCAAAGCUUGUGGUUAUAGUUGCUAGCGACAAUCUUUUUAAUGGUGGUUUACCGAUGCUUUUCAUUUCAGUGUGCAUAAGUGUGUGUGUCUCUAUAUAUUUAUGAUUAUUUAAUGGUGGUCUAUUAUUUUUGCCAAAACAAAAACACUAGUAUGUGGGUAUAUACAUUUUUUUCGACAAAGGGAAUAUAUUAAUAUCAUGAAACGUGGGUAUAUACAUUUAUGUGCAGUUUGCUAGCUAUAAUAAUCUGAAAAUUUAGUACCGUAUAGCCAAGCAGCCCUGCCCACCUAUCAUCUAACACCCUUUAUAUUUCCCCCUCAAGCCCAUUAACUAAGCAACUGGCCUAGCACGUAAAAGGCCAUCAGACCAGACAUGCAAUUCCCCCGAUCGAUCAGUGGGUUCCAGAGUGAGCAACAGUUUUUUCUCUAUAGCUCAGCAUACAUACAUGGCUGGGUAUCCCUCAAAAGAAAAAAAAAA
rnacentral:lncRNA from 1 species